AUGUCUUCCUCCUCCGGCGCCUCUCACCCUAGCCUCAGUGCGCAGGUCAUUGAGAAACUCUCUCGUGCGAAUGACGUGCUAUGGCGCACACAUAUCACGCCGCAGUUGCGUGGCGCCGGUGUCUUCGGCUAUGUCGAUGGCACCUCGCUGGAGCCGGCCAAGCUCCUCGCCGCCAAGUACAAGGACGGCAAGGAGACAUUCGAUCCCAACCCUCUCCAUCCCAUCUGGGUCCGGGAGGACCAACAGGUUCUCGGUUACCUACUGAGCAACCUCUCUAAAGAGGUGCUCGUCACGGUGACCACGGUCAACACGGCGCAGUCACUUUGGACGACGCUGGUAGGCAUGUACUCGUCGCAGUCACUUAGUCGCGUCAACAACAUCCGUUCCUUGCUCAUCAUCGCGCAGAAGGGAAACCAGUCUGCCGCCGCCUACUUCGCCUCCAUGUGCGGCCUUGCGGACGAGCUAGCCGCGGCCGACAAACCGAUCCAGGAUGACGAACUCAUCUUGUACAUCCUUCAUGGGUUGGAUCUGGAGUACCAGCCCCUCGUCUCCACCCUCGACGCCCGUGUCACCCCCGCCUCCCUCGACGAGAUUUUCUCCAUGCUCAGCAACUUCGAACAGCGCAUGGCACAGUUCCACGGCUCGGGCGGCAGCGGCAUCAAAUCCUUCGUGAACAUUGCCACUAGUGGGUGUGGUGGUGGCUCUCGCUAUCGUGGUCCUUCCCGUGGCAAGGGAAGGUCAGGUGGCGCACGGACCAGGGAUGGUGGUGGUAGCGGGCGCUCUGGAAACAGGGGUCGCUGUGGCGGUGGCUCUGGUAGGACCCGCCAAGAUACCCUGCGCUGCCAGAUCUGUGGCAAGCCGAGUCAUACUGCCAAGGAUUAUUGGUACCGAUAUGAGGAAGACGAAGACAAUUCCCAAGAUGAUGAAAAGGUCGUUGCGGUGGCUGAAGGAUCCUACAGCGUCGACACAAACUAG
rnacentral:rRNA from 1 species